rnacentral:rRNA from 1 species
AUUGAACGCUGGCGGCAUGCUUUACACAUGCAAGUCGAACGGCAGCGCGGGCUUCGGCCUGGCGGCGCGUGGCGAACGGGCGAGUAAUGCAUCGGAACGUGCCCAGUCGUGGGGGAUAGCACGGCGAAAGCCGGAUUAAUACCGCAUACGACCUGAGGGUGAAAGCGGGGGACCGAAAGGCCUCGCGCUAUUGGAGCGGCCGAUGUCGGAUUAGCUAGUUGGUGGGGUAAAGGCUUACCAAGGCGACGAUCCGUAGCUGGUCUGAGAGGCCGACCAGCCACAAUGGGACUGGGAGACGGACCAGACUAUUACGGGGGGAAGCAGAGGGGAAUCUUGGACAACGGGGGCAAUCCUGCUCCCGCCAUGCCGCGUGCGGGAAGAAGGUCUUCGGGUCGUAAAACGCUGUUGUUCGGGAAGAAAACCUCUGGGCGAAUACCCCAGGGGAAUGACGGUACCGGAUGAAUAAGCACCGGCUAAAUACGUG